GUGGAACUUGGGAUUCGAACGGCAGGCGGGAAGUGCUCUAGCAGGGGAGUCUGACCUUGUGAGGGAAUACCUGUGUCCCCCCUUUUUUCCCCUUUUUACCCAAUAAAACCCUGCCUUACUCACCCUUUAAAUCAUCUGCGAGCCUGAAUUUUCAUGGCCGUGGGACGGACAAGAACUUUAUCUUCAGCUGAACUAAGAAAAAGUCCUGCAACAUUUUUGGCGCGCAAUGUGGGGGCACCAGAAGCGGGCACCGUUGAGCUGUUGCAACUGUUCUGCUGGAGCCUUAUGUAUGUGGUUGAAACCACCUGUACUACUGGAAUGAAAGCACCUUUACAGAAGAGGCAAUGCAAGUUGUAUUCAUCACAUGUGUAGAAUGAAUUAAGAUUUAUGCCAGUUGCAAAGAAGAAUAUUGGCUCACUAUUUUUCCUCUGGGCAUGUGGAAAUGUAAAUCAGUCCAUGUUACUCACCUCGGAGAAGCAGAAGUACGAUUUACUAUUGUUGCUUGCUUACUUACUCUUAUCAAUUUCUAUGAGAGAGUUGUACUGCGACAUUAGCUCUUUUGACUAGAUGUGAUGACAGACUGUCUUUGGUCCAUUCUCUUUUAUUGCCUUGGAAGAGAAUAAAUGAGGAGUAGUUCUCACCCAUUGCAGCUGAGGCAUCACACCUGUAAUGGGAUUAACAAGAUGAUAAUAUAUCUUUUGCCAAGACCACAUACUAGCAGCUAUUACUAACAAAGAAAAGACUGCUUCUGUAAUACAACAAUAAAUUUAUUGAACUAAAAGUUGAGACUGACAUCUGGGCACAUUGGGCUCCUCAUGCCUCUGAAUAAACAGACAAACAAAUGAGUUACUAUACCAGCAGAGGGGUACAAGCAAUUUUCCAGUCUUGACCCUUUAUCUGUUGACCAAGCUAAGGCAGAAACCAGCUAAAUUCUGGAUUUAAUCUUGAGCAGCAAAAAAGAUCAGCUUUUGAAGUGGAUCUGCUUUUAUUCUUGGCAAAAGUUCAGCGGAGACCAACCAGAGUGGUGACAAAGUUCUUCAACAUCAAGCCAAAUGUAAUACAAGGAAUUACGGAUAGUGCUUAAUCUAAAAUAAAGAAAUUCCACAUCUCCCUAAAAAGUUAUUGGCUUCAAGAAUGAAAACAAAAGAAGCAUAUUUGUCUCAAUCCAAACACAGACACCAGAAAGACAAACCAGGAGUAUACAGCAAAGUAGCUUGCAGGAUAAUACAUUGAAAAAUGUAAUUGUGCAUAAAUCAUGCACAAAGUAGAAACCACAAAUUCUGUAUUUGGCAAGGCUUCGGUUCCUUUGCAUAAUUCUUUCAUUUUCAUCUUGCUGCUUCCAUUCUCUUUUCAUCAAAAAAAGCUACAUAAAACAAAGACAUAAACUGUAUGCAAUUAAAAUGAGAAAAUAGCUGAAAGGAAUGUAUUGAUAAUUAUGUUAAAAUCUAUACCAUAAGUAUUCUUGCAUUGUUAAGCAUCUAAUUUUUCAUGUGUUGACAUCAGCAUCUCAGUUCUCUCUAACAUCUGAAAGCUUUUUUUUUUAAGGCAACUUCUUUUAGAGUGAACAAACUUAUGUACCACCGAGUUGACAAAAGUAUAACUAUAUCCUACAGAAAGAGACCUCAAGUAAACCUCCAGCAGCCAUCUGGACUUCCAUGAAAACAGAACAAUCAGUGAGAUGCAGAGCUUGGAGGAGACAGUUUCCAUAGACUGAAGCACGUGCUGAAGCAAAGUUCACACUUGCAGGAUUAGAAGAGGUUGACCGAAAGAAGGAAGGACAUGGACAGCUAUGUUGUUGUGGAGUCCUGUUUUAUAGUCAUAACCUUGAGUCAAGUGAGUUUGUCUGGACAGACAGAGCUUGUUGCCUUUACUUAUAGGGAAGGCACCGGACACAGACAGCCUCAAGGACAUUUGUUCUAGCCUUUCAGUAUCCUUUCUCUUAAUUAUCUCACCUCAUCCAUGAAGCUGGUAUGUACGAUUUUUCCUUUCUUUCUCAAUCCUUUAAAAAAUUAAAGCUCUAAAUCUCAUUUCCACUUAGAUUUUAAUGUUGCAUUGUAACUUAAGAUAAAACCUUGCUCUGAUGUUAAAAAUACUAAAGUAAGAAGCAAUAUGGCAUAGUGCUUAUGAGCAGGACUACAUAGUUCUUUCUGAAUACAAAUCUCAGAUAAAACACUAUCUCAGUGAUCAACCAGGUUAAGCAACCUUUUUAGUGCCUCAAUUAUUCCAUUUGUAAAAUUGUAAUAAUGAUAGUACUAACCUAUAAGAUUGUGGUGAGGAUUAAGUCAGAUAAUACAAAAGAAGCAUUUAGAGUAUUUCCUGGCAUUAUCUACCAUUUAUUGAAUUUUUAUGGUUAAGAAGAAUAAGGAAAAGCAGAAGAAAAGGAAAAGAGAAAAAAUACAUAAGAAGAAGGAAGAGUGGUAAGCUCUAGUAAAUUACAACAAACGGUAACGUAGAAAACAUUUGUUAGCCCUUAAUAUAGGCCAGGCACUGUGUUCAAUGCUUAAACCUCAUUACUGUUCUUUGAAGUGGAUAACAUUAUUCCUUCCAUUUUAAAGAAAGGAAUACUAAAGACAACUUUGUCAAUAUUAUUCAUGUAAUAAAUGACAGAAUUUGACCAAGACAAUAGAGAAUGAACUCUUAAUCACUAUAUUGUUUUAUUUUUUGAAAAUAGAUUUUAAGUUCUUAUUAAAUGUUAAUGACUCACAUCAAAAUAAAGCCAAUCAAAAUUGACAGCAAU
rnacentral:lncRNA from 1 species